rnacentral:rRNA from 1 species
GGCUCAGAUUGAACGCUGGCGGCAGGCCUAACACAUGCAAGUCGAGCGGUAGCACAAGAGAGCUUGCUCUCUGGGUGACGAGCGGCGGACGGGUGAGUAAUGUCUGGGAAACUGCCUGAUGGCGGGGGAUAACUAGUGGAAACGGUAGCUAAUACCGCAUAACGUCGCAAGACCAAAGUGGGGGACCUUCGGGCCUCACGCCAUCAGAUGUGCCCAGGUGGGAUUAGCUGGUAGGUGGGGUAACGGCUCACCUAGGCGACGAUCCCUAGCUGGUCUGAGAGGAUGACCAGCCACACUGGAACUGAGACACGGUCCAGACUCCUACGGGAGGCAGCAGUGGGGAAUAUUGCACAAUGGGCGCAAGCCUGAUGCAGCCAUGCCGCGUGUGUGAAGAAGGCCUUCGGGUUGUAAAGCACUUUCAGCGAGGAGGAAGGGUAAUGUGUUA